GGGAAACAUAAAGGCUAAGAGGUGACUGGGACAUAAAGUCAAACAGGAAAAUGAGGUAACAAGGGGCUUGCCACUUAGGUCACACCCAACCAAUCAGGUAGUAAAGAGAGCUCACUAAAAUGCGAAUUAGGCAAAAACAGAAGGUAAAGAAAUAGCCAAUCAUCUAACGCCUGAGAGCACAGAGAGAGGGACAAUGAUCAGCGGGAUAUAACCCAGGCACUGGAGCCCGCAACGGCAAUCCCCUUUGGGUCUCCUCCCAUUUUAUGGGAGCUCUGUUUUCACUCUAUUAAACCUUGCAACUGUACACUCUUCUGGUCUGUGUUUGUUAUGGCUUGAGCUGAGCUUUCGCUCACUGUCUACCGCUGCUGUCUGCUGCCAUGGCAGCUGUGGCAGACCUGCCGCUGACUUCCACCCCUCCGGAUCCGGGUGUCCACUGCACUUCUGAUCCAGCGAGGCGGCACCCAUUGCCGCUCCCAAUCGGGCUAGAGGCUCGCCAUUGUUCUUGCGCGGGCUAAGUGCCCGGGGUUCCUCCUAAUCGAGCUGAAUAGAGCUAUAACACUCACCGCAUGGCCCAAGAUUCCAUUCCUUGGAAUCCGUGAGGCCAAGAACCCCAGGUCAGAGAACAAGAGACUUACUGCCAUCUUGGAAGCGGCCCACCACCAUCUUGGGAGCUCUAAGAACAAGGACCCCCAGUAACAAUAGCACCAUAACACCCCUAAACUGGAAAAUAUCCAGUCUGAGGUAUAGGGCAUAGUCAUAAAAUGGAAACCAUCCAGAAUGAAAAUGAAAGAACUAUUUCUACACAUACUAUGCAUGAAUCUCACAAAAAUAACAUUAACUAAAAGAAGCCAAACACAGUACACAGAGUACUGGUCUAGAGAGAAGGAGAAUUCAAAACAAACAAAAGUAACCCAGCUGUUACAAGUCAGGGCGAGUCCAGCCAGGCACAGUGGCUCAUGUCUGCAA
rnacentral:lncRNA from 1 species